CCGUUCUCAGUUCGGAUCGGAGUCUGCAACCCGACUCCGUGAAGCUGGAUUCGCUAGUAAUCGCGGAUCAGCAUGCCGCGGUGAAUACGUUCCCGGGCCUUGUACACACCGCCCGUCACACCAUGGGAGCCGGUAAUACCCGAAGUCAGUAGUCCAACCUCGUGAGGACGCUGCCGAAGGUAGGAUUGGCGACUGGGGUGAAGUCGUAACAAGGUACC
rnacentral:rRNA from 1 species